GGCAGGUAUGUUCAGCCCAGGAGAAGUGCCACAAAGGACCUGCUUCCCACAGGCAGCCUCUUCAGGCACAGUUUUCUUUCCUGGCCCCUCCAGGACUGAGAGAGGACAGGCACUAUGCCUCUACAAAUGCAUCUGGUGGGCUCUCUUUUUCAGAGCCCUCUUGUUAUCAAGGGCCUGAUCUUACAAAAUGCUGCAUUGUGCCAUCAGUUUCUACUGACUUUGGUGGAGGGACCACACCACACCACAGAUCUGGGCCUUGAGAUGUUCCAAGGAAAGGUUACUUUGAUUGGGAAUUACAGUAGGGGUUAACAACAUUCUUUUGUCUGUAGAGGCUGAGAGAGCAGCAGAUGCAGAGAGAGCAGCAGCUCAGAGUGUGCUGGUUGGUCUGUGUCACUGCCUGUGGAUUCAAGGAGCCUGUGGAUUCGAGGAGCAGUGGCCAGCUUGCAGGGGAGAAGGAUGAGACUGGAUGUUUGCACUCUACAGUGGUGUUCAGAGCCAACAACUGUACAACCUGAAAGGGAGAUACUAAAACUGGCACCUGCCCUUUGUUCCACAGCUUAGAUGAUCCUGGCUCACAUUAGUGAGGCUGCAUCCAAUAUAAAGCUAGAGACAACACUACAACCCCAGCCUUCCUGUUCCUUACCCCUCCAGCACUCUUUGGCACCAGGCAGGACAGCAGAAUCACUCGGACAAUUUGCAUCCAGGAUGUGCAGUGCCUUCCUCAGCUCCCAGUCUCACAGCCUCCUCCUGCCUGCCAUGUUCUCAGCAUGACACUGGGAACAAAGGGCAUCUGGGGGCCUGCAGCGUGGCUGCUCCCUCCUGUGCUCCCAGCAGGUGCAUGGAAGCACGGCCGCUGUGUGUCGGAACAAAUGGGUGCUCACAGCUGUCUGCCAGGCUGGGCUGCAUUGCUGUACCCCGGAGAAGGCAGGGCAUGAGCAGUGGGAAUGGGAUGCUGUGCUGUGGGCAGGCUCAUAUUGUGCCAGGCUUAGCAAUUAGCUAGCUCGUCCACUGAAUAAAGCAGACUGUGACCAGGCUUCUUGGCACGGUGUGGCUAUUGUACGGCAGAUGGUACACGGGGUAUAAUGGACUAAGAAAAUAUUCUGAGUGGGGAAAAUGUCACAGCUAAAAAUGGCACCACAGCUGACGUGGCUCUGGAGAAGCAGAGGCCAACUGAAAAAGCCUUUUAUGCAGACAGUGGGUACCAGCAAAAGAUGAAGACAGUCAUAAGACUUUUUCUUUCCUCCCAUUCUGAAUCAGUUGAUAUGUCUCAGACUUUUGAAUUGUGACCAAGUAAAGAGAAGAGGUGAAGAGUACAUUUUCUUGUUCUGUUUUUAGUAUGUGAAUACAAAUUAAAUAUGCAAACUAAGACACCAACUUUUUCCAUCAAGGGAGUUAACAUGGUCCCUGAUGAAUUGCUGUGCACUGAGUGGGGUCAGAGAAUAUUAUUAACUAGACAAUACAAAACUGACCAAUUAUAUAGAUUGAUUCUAAUUUGCAAGGCAGAGGGAAACCCCCAGGCUGGUUUAGGACAUUUAAGAAGGUUGAACAACUGUCCAGUACUGUGGAGGCACAAGAAAAUGAAAUCUAAAAACGAGAAGAAAUGCAGAAACAUGCCAGAGCUCAAAAUGUGCUGAUGUAGAGACUUUGGCAAACAUUGUUAGCCAAGACAAUGCAGCAUUUGAAAGAAGGAUGCAAAAUCACUCACGGGUUGUAUUACUUGCUAGUGGAAUGCAAAGAGUGUAGGUUGGACUGGAGGAUAGUGAGAUUCAGGAAGAAAGAAAAAGUGAAUACUGCUUCAGCUGAAGCAAAUCUCUCUUAAACCACAUAGUUGUGUUAGCAAAGAGUCAGUGAGUCACAAGCUGAUAUGAUCCACAAAUAUAAGAAUAUCAACAUACAGUGCUGAUAUGACUGAAGAGAAACAGAUAAAGCCUAAGUCAUGGUGGUAAGGGAUGCAGAUUGACAAUCUUGGUAAGUUGUGAGUGGGCUGUAUUAGUCUGCUGGGUGCAGACAUGGGGAGGAUACUAAUUGUUAUGGGAAUCUGUGGUUUACCUACUUGCUGACCUCCUAAGGUGAAUGUGCCAUUAGAGAGGAAGGAGGCCAUAAAAAAUAAAAGAAAAUUGAGUGUGUGUGUUCACAGAUCAGCAGUAUUUGUAACAGCAGCAAACAGAGACAGCCCCACUGUCCCAUACCAUUAGUAUAACUCUCCUUGCCCUGAGGCAGAAGUCUGGGGAGAGACAGGCAAAUUGAUUACACUGUGAAUCACAAAAUCAAUAGGGGAGUUAACAGCAUAGAUACCCAUUUGCUCAUUGUUCUGAGAGAAGGCAGAAAUCCAGAAUUAUCCACUUCAUAUAUGAACCCAAAGUAAUUUAAUAAGCAUUUUGAAAGGGAGCAUUUUUCCUUGACCUGGGAGAAAAAUGCUUGAAGAAUUCAAACUUUUUUUUUAAGCUUGGUGUACCACCGAAGUUCUGAAAGCCUAAAAAGGGUACAUAUAUGCAUUUAAACCUUGUGCAUUGCUGGGACACUGCUUUCUCAGAUAAACUGUGGGACUUGGACCUGCAGCAUGGCCCCCAAAUGACUGAAUGUUGGGAUAGUCUUGUUUGUGCACCAUUUCCCCUUCUCUCUCUUGAAAUCCUUGUUUUCAUUAAAGAAGAGAAUAGCUUUGCAGGCAGGGAGAAAGCCAGAAGGGUCUCCAUGGGUACUUCCUUGUGUUAUGGAGUAUACUCAUCCUGAUAGCUUUAAGAUGCUACUUGGGAUUUGUUUUUGCUCCUGAGAAAUUUCACCAGAAAAUGCAAAGAACAGUAAAUGGUAAAGAGAGCAAAUGUUUCUACAGAGCAUUGCUUUGGCAGCCUGGGUCACUGCCUGGGUCUCCUGCUCUCAGAAACAGUGGUGAGAGAGAUACUCCACUGAGUGAUGCACGCUGGGGGUGACCAGUCCUGUGCAGGAUGCUGAGGAGCCCUGGCUGUGCUCCCUGGGAAGGGAGCAGUGCUGCACUUUUUGGGAGGCUCCUCUGCAGAGUCCCACACUGCACAGGGGUUCAUGGUUGCAGCCAGCAGACUGCACAAGGCAGACCUCUGUGCCUGCUUGGCUCAGGGUGAGUUCUGAACCAGGAAAUCAAGCCCAUCAACAAGUCAUCUCCUAUCCAGCCCUUUCCCCCAUUUUCCAUAAUGUCCUUCUUUAUUAUACUCCUACCCUUAAGUAAAUUGACUUGCCUGGCUUUCUCCCUUCAGUGAUGCAAGCUACCAUGUAGCUUGUUGUCUGUAUGUGAUAAACAUUUCCUUCCUUCUCUAGCUUAUUGUCUUUAGACUGCAGAUAUUUGAGGGCAGGUUUGAUUUUCUGUAUGCUUACAUGGUACUUACAAUAGCAGAAUCCAAAUUUGGGCUGAAACUAUCAGGAUUUAGUCAUCCUUAUUCUUAAUUAUCAUUUAUAAAAGAUAAGUUCCACAGGUAAAUGCUCUGUAAAAAGCACUGCUUCCUCCACUGACCUUGGUUCUUGCUGUGCCUCAUUUGCAUUGAGGAUGUGUUGGAGGAAAUUGCUGUACACACAACAUGGAGUUAAUUGCACUUUAUUAUACCCUUAUUCAACAGCUCUCUUUUUUUUUUCUUUUAAUUUCUCCUUUUCCUUUUUCUGUUAAGCCCUCAGAAAAAUGUAGAUAAUUCACAUUAUUUUUUUAUAUGAGCAGCUUCUCUGUCAUCUUGUCCUGCUGACUAGUGAGUUCAAACAGUUUCACAUCACUCUUCACAUACAGCUCAGCAGAGUAUGUCAUCCAGCCCCUUCCCUUCAGCCAUUUGCUCUCAUCUCAGCAACUUCUUAGUCUAAAAAAGAUCCUAAAUUUCAUUAAUUGGUCUGUGAGCCAACAUAUAAUGCAGCCUGUUUUGUGAGGCUGCACAGAAAGAGGGGAACCUCAUUCACUGUAAACUAAUGUUUUAAUUUCUUUUAACCAAGUGGUUCUUACAGAUACUUGUGCAAAGAAAGCAUCUGUGCUCUGUAGAUCCACUCUCAGUGCUUAUUUUCCAAUUUUCGGUCACGUUCCCUUCAGAAAGUAGGUGUGAGAGGAAGAGCAGCCCAGCUGAAGCAAAGAAGUGAGGAGAGGAGAAUUAUGUUUGAAUUGCAAGUCCAUUUCCCACACAUGACAUGUGUGAGAAAAAACACAGAGGUUGAUGGGCUUCUGCUUUGGUUCCAAAAAACAAAAAACUACGGAAUCUUUAACCAGCAGAGAAGUACAGGUAGAGUAAAUCAUUGCUUAGAGAGUUGAUUUGGUUGAAGAUCCUUACUAUGACAUGAAUACAAAGGUCAAGUGGUGCACAACAGCAAAAGUGCUCCGGCUGUCUGUUCUCCAGUUUUCUUUGUUCCUUAGAGUUACCUGGACAGUACAGGAUUUUCAUAAAGUUGGCUAGGAAAUGCAUGGUAGUGUCUUAUACACAGAAAAUCUCUUUGGAGAAACUUAAGCUGCAGGUCCCAUCCUCAGUCUCCUGAGACAGAGGAGGAUUAAGCAGUAGAGAGUGAUGGACAGGCUCUCCAAGGGAUUUGUAUCACUGAGCUGAGAUACUGAGAGUAGCUAGGGCUAAAUGGCUGCAAGGGCAUAGACAAAGAAGAAAAUGCUGGAUUAAGCAGCUCUGGAUGUAUUUUGGCCACUCUUGCAGUCUGUUUAGGCUAUGAAAAGAGGACCAGAGGGAGGUAGGCUCUGGUUUUUCGUGGUGCUGGAGUUUCUUGUCUGUGUUUGCUUGCUUUCAGCUCUGUUCUCUCAGGCAGAGCGUAGAGGGAGACUGCAUGUGAGACCUGGCUGAGAGCUUCAGGCAGUCAGAGGUGACUCCCUUCUUGUUUUUCCCAAGCAUGUCUAUCUGACUCAGGGCUCUUGAUACAACAUACCAUACAGUAGUGUGAGGCUCACAUUCCUAAUCAGUAUAAAUACUAAGGUUUGCUCACUUUGCAUGACUUGGCUUUAUCUCUCAAGAAAGCUUUCAUUGUCUUGCUUCGAGUUCCUCAAGUGCCUACAAAGAAAAGUGCUCAGUUGGCCCUAAAGUAGGGAACAAAUGCAGUAGAAGAAA